ACUUUGUUCCAAAGACUACCCCUUUCCCUCUUAAUCACUUUAGCCACGAUCGCGCUCAUUAGAUCCAAGAACUUAAUUAAAGAAGAUCAUAGAGAUGGCAUUGACUGCAAACCACGUUAGAGUUGAGCAGCACGGCGAUGCCAUGAUGGGAGAGUACACACAGUUUGUGUACGACAAGGAGACUGGUAUGGCGGGCCAGAAGAAGACUGUGGUUGCACAGGUUCCUGUGGAGGGAGGUGGACAUGCCAUUCUCGUUACAGAGCAAGUGCAAGUCACACAAGUGAGUCCUCCGAGUUAUACUCCACGCACUAAUCAAGCCUUGCAGAACAAUGUCAAUGGGAGCCCAUCUGAUGACCCUGAUACCAACAAUAGAGUCUGCAAAUCAUGCAGCUGGCUUUCAUGCAGUUGCUUCAUCUUGUUGAUGAGCCUUGGAAUGAUCAUCCCUAUAGCUGCUGUUGGUUUGCUGUCAUGUGCCCCCCUGUCAGGUGCUGCGAGCAGUGGGCUGGUUCUGGGUUCUAUAACUUUCAUUAUAUCCAUCCUCUGCUGUGCCCACUGCUUGAACAUGAAGAGCCCUACCGUGUGAUGCUUGUGUUGCUCAGCUGUGACACUCCUAACCCUUGCAUUUUUGGCCACUCUGAUUGCAAACACUGUAUUUGUGGCUAACUUCAUCAACAAUCCAGCUGGGAUUUGCUCUUCCACUGAAGUAGCUCCAGCUGUUAUGGGUUUGUCUUGGAUUCUGCUACCAUUGUUUGGGCUUUUCUGUUUGUGCUCUACUUUUAUUUGCGUGGACAAGCCUAUUAGUGAUGCAAACAAUGUUGCCUAGUUCUAAAGUUUAGUUUUGUGUGUGGUAGCUCAUACGGUGACAUUUUUAGUUGUGUCUUUAAACUUUUUACGUAUUAAUUUUGCUUGCUUAGUUACUGAUCUUUACCUAUUUUUUAGUAACUGCACACGCGCCUUGAUCUAUAAUUACUACUCUACCGCUAUACAUGCUAGCCACGUCUUGUGAGCGCGGCAUAAAAAUCUAAAACACAUUGGAUUGUGCUCACUAGAUUCAAGAACUUAAUUAGAGAAGAUCACAGAGAUGGCAUUGACUGUAAACCACGUUAGAGUUGUGCAGCAUGGCGAUGCUGUGAUGGGAGAGCGCACACAGCUUAUGUACGACGAGGAGACUGGUAUGGCGGGCCAGAAGAAGACUGUGGUUGCACAGGUUCCUAUAGAUGGAGGUGGACAUACCAUUCUUGUUACAGAGCAAGUGCAAGUCACACAAGUGUGCAGGGUCCUCCAAGUUACACUCCAUGCAGUGAUCGAGCCUUGCAGCACCACGUAAAUGGGAGCCCAUCUGAUGACCCUGAUGUCAAUUGUAGAGUGUGCAAAUCAUGCAGCUGCAUGGCUUUUGUGCAGUUGCUUCAUCUUCUUGAUGAGCCUUGCGAUAAUCAUCCCUAUAGCUGCUGUUGGUUUGUUGUCAUGUGCCCCUAUAUCAAGUGCUGCCAUCAGUGGGCUGGUUCUGGGUUCUAUAACUUUCAUUAUGUCCAUCCUCUGCUGUGCACACUGCUGGAACACAAAGAGCCCCACUGUGCAAUGCUUGUGUUGCUCAGCUGUGUCACUCCUAACCCUUGCAUUUUUGCACUUUGAUUGCAAACACUGUAUUUGUGGCACUGGAUAUUAACUUUAUCAACGACCCAGCUGGGAUUUGCUCUUCCACUGAAGUAGCUCCAGCUGUUAUGGGUUUGUCUUGGAUUCUGCUACCAAUAUUUGGGCUCUUCUGUUUGUGCUCUACUUAUAUUUGCGUGGAGAAGAGUUAGUGUUGUAUUAAUGAUGCAAACAAUGUUUCCUAGUUUGAAAUUUCAGUUUUAUGUGUGGUACAUGUACAUCUAGCUCAUACGGUGACAUCUUUACGCUUUGUUAUGUCAUAGAUUGAAGAAGUAUAGGAUAGACUACACCUAAGAGUAGAAUAUGCGUCUAUGUAACCUCCGCGGUUGCGGUUAGCCCGAGGCGCAAAGCCGAGGGAAUCUAACCGUAACCAAGGUGGUUACUAAGACGCAUAUUCUACGAGUGGGUGUGGUCUAUCUAACUUGGACUUCAUUGCGCAUGCGCGAGGCGUGGUUAUAAAAAGCCAGGUUUGGUGCUUAGCAACAGAAAUUGAAUUUGUGCGAGCUGGACGAGCUGGAGAGCUGUGAGAGACACCAGUUGACAGAAAAAGAUAAGAAGACGGCUUCAAAACAAUGAAAAACUUAGUAAAGCUUGUGAAACGCUUCUUGAAGAUACUGGAAAGAACAGACAAGUAAAAAGAACCUAGAACUAUGCUAGAACUGACUGCAACACUACAAGAAGAAGAAUGAAGCUCUGUGGUGGAGUGGAGGGGGUAUAGAGCAGACUGGACCGGCAUGGAACCUUAAAAAACUCAAUAGAAAGUGUCAAGCGACUGCUAAAGUGUUUUUGAUGCUUCCUGGCCCCCCUUGCCCAUGCCCAACUGGAAAAAGCAAUACAAAGCAACAGUGGACAUGGAAAGAAUGGAUAUUGACUGAACAAACUAUUGCAUUCUGUGUUUUUAUAAUGUUUUUGUCAUCUUGUCACUUUCACUAAAAAUUUCAUUUCAACUUUUGAGAACUUCUUGCAAAUUAUUUGUCACUUCCUGUAGAAUAUGCGUCCAUUUCCUGUAGAAUAUGUGUCCACUUCCUGUAGAAUAUGCGCCCAUUUCCUGUAGAAUAAGUACUUUCUUGUAGAUUAUGCUUCCAUGUAAUCUACUGUUUUUAGCCAAUCAGAUCAAUUACAGAUGAUGUAAUGUAGUCUAAUCUAUGGUUAUGUCAACUAGAUCUAUAAUUAUAACUUAGUAUUUGCUUGCUUAGUGAUCUUUACCUAUUGUUUUAGUAACUGCUCAAUCUCUGAUCACUUAGCAAAAAUCGCCAAAAUUAGUAAUCUGUCCCAAGAGUAUGCCAUUGACUGCAAAUUAUAUUAGAGUUGAGCAGCACGGUGAUACUGUGCUGGGAGAGUGCACAUAAAUUGGGUAUGUCCCGAAGACUGGCAGUGCCAGUGGUACGGUUGUUCAGGAGAAUGCUGUGGUUGCACAGGUUCCUGUGGAGAGAGGCGGUGAUGCUGUGCUGGGAAAGUACACAGAGGGGGAAGUGCAAGCCCUGAUGCGAGAAGUGCAAGCCGUAAUGCGGUAUGUACGUAGAAGUUUAACUGCUGACUGUGGCACCAGCAGAGGCUGCAAACGAUUCUGUAAGUAAUAAUUGUGUUGCUUUGCUAUCACUGCCUAUUUACAGGGCUUUUGUGUGGUUUAUUCACCUCAGUGCUUAGCAUUGCAAUGGCCAUCCCUGGAGGUAAGUUAUAUACAUACAUCAGUUACAUAGAUCAUGCAGUGGCGAAUCCAGGGAGAGAUCCCAGGGUGCCACGGAUCCCCCCUUUCAGUCUAGCUAUUAUGGCUUUAGUGCAGCUACCAGUUAGCUAUUUAUCAGUUUUUGUAGCUAUUGUAGUUUGACUGUACCUGUUGUUUUGAUGUAUCAACUGCCAAAGGAGUGUUAAAAGUCAAUGGUUAGCCUAGGCUAGCUAGUUGACUGUUCGUGGCAGCUAUAUAGCACUACACAAGUCUAUUAUGGGACUUUCUGACUGAAAAUGGGAUUUUGCCUAGUCUUACUGCACAACGUGUGACCGGAAGUGGGAGUAACCCUAAAAAAUUCGCGCUGUGCGCAAUUUUCACUGCUGCGCGUUCAUUACUUUGAAACCCCUUUCAUUUUUCCUGGAUCUGCCACUGUAGAUCAUGCAGUGGUCAUUGGUUAGUCAUGAGCAUUGUUUAGCUACUCAUGACUAAACAAUGUUUUAGUCACUCAUGAAUCGUACCACUAUAACAUACUCAGCACUAUUAUGCACUAUAUAAUAGUGAAUCCAACGGUCUCUAUGGGAUUAUGAGACCCUGAGGGUCUCAUAAUCCCAUAGUGACCGUUGGACGAGGCCUAUAUAACUGAUUUAGAAUAGUGCUAAGCAAGCUAAGCUAUAGAAGACUUUGGAACCAAUAGUUUCUACAAGUCCCAAGCAACAUUAAUUUAAAAGCUUCGCUCUGGCUAAGUCUAUAUACAUAAAAACUCACAUUGAAGGCCAUUUCCGUCUCUUGAGAAUCAUGCAUAGCAAAAACUGCUAAUAGAAAGCUGCUAUUCUACUUAGUAGUUAGCUCUGCACUAGAGCACUAUAGCUAUUGGUAGCUGCAAGAGUGAGAUAAAAGCUGCAAAGCUGCACUGCAAAACACAAAUACUUGAAAAAUGAAAGCACCGCAGGUGCUGUGCCUCGGUGCAUGAGGUGCCAAAGCUACAUGACAUAAAGCUACUAAGCUAGCUUUUAUACACACAUUGAUUAUAAUUUGUAUCAUGAUGAACAUUUAUAAUUUACUGCAGGCAAAAUCCAGAAAAACUCUAAGAGCGGGUCAAAAAUGAUUGUUGUUAAAAAUGAUCGAUACCAAAAGUUCAAGUCUAAAAUUAAUGGCUGCAAGUCAGCAGAGCUUGCAGCUCUCUUCUCACUCUUGCAGCUACCAAUAGCUAGCGUUCUAGUGCAGAGCUAACUACUAAAGUAGAGUAGCAACACUCGGUAAACAAGUUUGGCUACGUGCUCUUUUGAAAAGGCUGCAAUGGCAUUCCAAGUAAGCAAACUAGGCAUAACUCGAGAACGAAGCAUUAUUUUGCAAAUCCACGAAUUAAAGUCCAAGUAAACAUGACUAGAAGCCUAUAGAAACUCUUACUUGCACUUGAUUCAUCCUUGAGCAGCUGUAGCAGUCCACACACACACAGACACAGACACAUAAAUACACUACCGUAUACCUCGCUUGCGCAUGAGCACCAAGGCAUAAAUAUCUCUAAAUGUGCUGAGUCGGCGCUAUUUAUUUUUAUGUCUAGUCAGCAGUUUAGUUGUACACAAGAUAUCAAGAGCUAGAGGUGAGCAGUAAAAGAUCCAGAGGAUCACCUACAUGCCAGACUCCUGUUCAAUCCAGGUAGAGAAGCUUUAUCUCUGUAGAUCUAGUGCUUAGGCUAGGAGAAAUCGUAGUAGAGAUUUAAAUCGUAAGCAGAUGCAGUGAUCGUCAGACUGCUCAUUUCCUUGAUGACCAGUAGCUAUCUGUGAAACUGCUGACAAGACACAAAAAUAGCGCCGACUCAGCACAUUUAUAUUGAUAUUUUUGCACGUGAUCUCAACUUCCUUCCAACCUCCUCUGGCACUUGCAUCAUGGUUACUAUGACUUCAACAUACAUUUCCAUAGGCAAGUACAUAAUAUAAUAUAAUGAACCUCUGUAUAGAAGACCACUGAGGUCUCUAAGUGAAAUAAGGGACCUCUCAGUAACCACCAUUUGUGACAAGCUUUUUCUAAUAUUAUUUUUGCAGGACUUCGUUUGUGGGGUUGUGCCCCCCUAGUAGGGGUUACAGCCUGUGGAGUGGUUCUUUCAAUCUUUUUGUCCAUCCUCUGCUGUUUAUACUACAUCUGUUUGAAGAUAAACUCAACUGUGCAAGGCUGUUGUUGUUCUGUUGUAUCAUUUCUAAACAUUAUAUUUUUGGUUAUUCUGAUACUAGGAACUGUGUUUGUGGCACAGAAUAUUGAUUUCAUCAACAAUCCAGAUGGCAGCAGAGUCUGUUCUCUGGCUAAAUCAGUUCUGGUUGUUACGGGUUCGUCGUACAUUCUGCUACCGAUAUUCGGUUUCUUCAAUGUUUUUGUGAUCCGCUCAUAUUUGCUUGCCAGAACCAGAAAUACUGCAGCUGCAAACAAUACUGUGUGAAUCAUAAUUAUAUAGUAUUGUGUAUUGGGAGCCCAUAAUUAUUAUAUAUAAGUUAGUUCUGUUAAGACUGUGUGCUUCGUAGAACAUUCAAACACUCAUUAUAUCAUAUAGUUAUGACUUCAAUACAAACAUGUCAAUGGAUAAUACUGGUACAAUGUGCAGCAGGUGUGUGUAGUAGCCUCGAUCCCAGGCCGAGAAAACUUGCCUGGGAUCGAGUCUAGUGUGUGUACCUGACGAUUGAACUGAAUUAAUUUGUACCAUGCACAGUAUCGUAGGUAUAUAAGAUAUGAGAUAUGAUUAUGAUUAUACGUAAUGUUGUCUGAACACGUUAAAAUCAUGAGUCCAAUGUUACGACAAUCCUCUUUCUGUUGUAGUACUCUGCAUUAAUUGAGACUUAAUUGAGUAUCUAUUUGGUCAGCUCUAAAUAUUGUAGCCUUAAUUCUUCGCAAUUAAAUUCUGGAUCUCUUCUCUCCAGCUGAUUCGUCUGGGGCGCGAUAGCUCAACCAAUUUCUGUUAUGAUUAUGAAGAAGAUGAAGCCAGUAUAGUGGUGUAUAAACCAUGCAGGGGUGCGAGGGAGAACUCAGAUUGACUGUGUGAAAUACUGAAUUGCUUGUCUUUUAGAACUAUAUAGGUAGAACUGAAAUCAUUGGCUGUUGUUGUCUCAAAAUUUUUUACAUGUGUAGGCACAAGAUAACAACAAGAUAAACUGCUGGUAAAUCGGCUGGUGCUGGUGUGAGUCCUGUGAGUGGGAACAGUAUUACAGUGGAACCCUCUAUAACGGACACCUUUGGGGAACAAUGUUUUGGCCUUUAUACAGAGGUGGCCUUUGUUGAGAGGUUGUUUUGUACACAAACUGUUCAUUUGGGACCUGGGUGCCUGGCCGUUAUAUAGCAACUGGGAGGUAGUUGUUAACAGAGGUUCCACUGUACAUUACAUCAUAAUUAUUUCGAUGACUACAAAAAAUGGAUGUGUUUUCAAACGAGCUGCUUAACAAAGUGUUAGGGCCUCAUUACAGUGAAAACCAGUCUAUAUAAUAUGCAAGUAUAAUAUAGGUUGUACUACAAUACAGCCAGAUUAAUGUUCCUAUAGUCAAGUGCCUCAAAUAUCCAGACACCAGAGCUGAGAAAAUUUAUUGAAUAUAUCAUUAUGCUCAGCUUAGGGAUCUUUACCCAUUAUAAAUAAUUGGAGGAUGACUACAGCGAUGAGCGAUGAGCGCACACAGCUUAUGCGUGGCACUAAAUGCAUGCUAAGUCAGCACAUUUUCUCAUUUGAGACGGAAAAGAAAGCCUGGUGCGAAUGUUUUAUCGAGGCCACUUCUGUUUCCAAUCCCUCUUUUCCUGGUUAUAAUGCUCAGCUUAGUUUUCUUAUGCUUAGCCCUAGAGGGGCACAAUCAGCUAAACCAGCAUAUUUAACAGGAUUAUUUUAUGGGAAAGGUCGUCAUUAUAACAAACUGUUUACGUUGGGCUCACAAGACUAUGAUUAAAAAUUUGUAUAUAGUCAGUCGUGAGCGACAACUACGUCGCGCUCGGAUAGAUCCAAGAAAAUCAUAGAGAUGGCAUUGACUGCAAACCAUGUUAGAAUUGAGCAGCACGGCGAUGCUAUGAUGGGAGAGCGCACACAGCUUGUGUACGACGAGGAGACUGGUAUGGUGGGCCAGAAGAAGACUGUGGUUGCACAGGUUCCUAUAGAGGGAGGUGGACAUGCCAUUCUCGUUACAGAGCAAGUGCAAGUCGCACAAGUGGGUCCUCCAAGUUACACUCCACGCAAUCGAGCCCUGCAGUAUAACGUAAAUGGGAGCCCAUCUGAUGACCAUGGCACCUACAGAGGCUUUAUAUUAUGCAGCUGCAGUUGUUUCAUCUUCUUGAUGAGCCUUGCAAUAAUCAUCCCUAUAGCUGCUGUUGGUUUGCCAGCAUGUGUCCCCCUAUCAGGUGCUGCGAGCAGUGGGCUGGUUUUGGGAGCCAUAACUCUUAUUAUGUCCAUCUUCUGCUGUGCCCACUGCUUGAACAUAAAGAGCCCCACUGUGCAAUGCCUGUGUUGCUCAUCUGUGUCCCUCCUGACCCUUGUAUUUUUGGUCACUCUAAUUCCAAACACUGUUUUUGUGGCCCAGAAUAUCGGCUUCAUCAACAAUCCAGCUGGGCUUUGCUCCUCCCCUGAAGUAGCUCUGGCUGUUAUGGGUUUGUCUUGGAUUCUGCUACCGAUGUUUGGACUCUUCUGUUUGUGCUCUACUUAUAUUUGCAUGUGCAAAUCUAGUAAUGCAGACAAUGUUGAGUGAUUUAUUAUAUCUAUGUUGGAAAACUGAACUGAAUUAACUAUAUAGUAGUUUUGUAUGUACAUGUUAGCUCAUAAUUAGGGUUGAGUGUGUCCUGUUAGGAGUCCUUGGGACAAUUGAAAACUAAAAUUGAUAUUGUA